CCUACGGGAGGCAGCAGUGAGGAAUAUUCGUCAAUGGGGGAAACCCUGAACGAGCAACGCCGCGUGGAGGAUGAAGGCCUUCGGGACGUAAACUUCUUUUAGGGGAGACGAGAAGGGACGGUAUCCCCGGAAUCAGUCACGGCUAACUACGUGCCAGCAGCCGCGGUAAUA
rnacentral:rRNA from 1 species